rnacentral:lncRNA from 1 species
AUCUGAAGAUCAUCCUGGUAGUUGGGAAUCUUGAGUCUCAGGCAAGUUGUGCCCUUGAUCACUUAUUUUUACCUAAUAAUGUUUACUGUUAAUCACCGUGACAUGUUUAGGUUAAUUUGAUGGGACCUAAUAGGUUUCCCUAGCAUUGUUUAUCCCCCACCUUACAAACAGAUGAAUUAUUGGGUAGAUUUGCUAUUGCUCUACCUGGUUUUGGGAAACUAAUGUUUUAUUAUGAUCAUGUUACAAUUAUGUUGUUUAAUUAUUGUUCAUGGUAAGAUCAUAUUGUUAAUUGGAACAUGGAGAACCACCCGGAAAAAUAGUGCUACCGACGCCCUUGGCUGACUAAUUAGGAAAGCUAGUGGAGGACUACCUUACCCGAAAGGGGGAAGGGCAGUAGGGGAGUGGUCGGUAUAGGGAGGUCCUCAGGCUGAUUUUGCUGCGAUGGCUUUUCAGACGGGGGAUUCCUAUAUUGCGCUUCCUAGAACUGUAGCGGGUUUUCUGAAGCUAGUGGAACUUUGUAAAGGUCUCGUAGUGGUACCCUGUCUCGCUUCCUUAGUAGAGGUGUAUGGGAUCUGAUCAACCUCGUGGCAAAUGGGUAACACGACUUGUGGGUAAAGAUGCACAACCUCUGCAAAGUGUAAAACUGGUAUAUCAGCUGUGCUCACGGUCAUGAGCGGCUCGGACACUCACAUGAUUAACUUAUGGAAUUAAACUCAAUUUGUCAUUUGCAUUGCAUUGUGGGUGUUGUUAUUAACAUUGAUUUCUUAUUUAAUUGGGUUGGUAUCUACUUAUACUUAGUAACUGCUAAUAAAAUUUUGACCAACUUUAAAAGCAAUGCUCAGCUUUAACCAUCCUCUUUGGUAAGCCUUACACUUCACCUGAGCUCCCACCUUUUGUGAGUUCAUGCACAUUAUUCCCCAAAACUUGUUGAGCGAUGAACGUAUGUGAGCUCACCCUUCCUGUACUCAUAUCCCCCAGGUCAAGGACAGGUACCACAGGAUGAGGCGCAUGGAGGAUGCUAUGAUGAGUUCGUGAGAGGUCUAGGCCGUCGUCUCCCAGUCAACUUUGGUUGAUGGAUCGUUGUCUUCGUAUGAUGUAAUUAUUUAAUGAUUUUGUACAGAACUCCAUUAUAUAUUAAUGUUGUGACAUUCGUUUCUGUACCAUGAAUCAUCAUAUGUGUAAGACUUGAUCCUAGCACACUUGGUGAUUAUCUCACGCCCGGGUUUUGGGUCUGGGUGUGACAGAAUUGGUAUUAGAGCGAAUGUUGACUGUAGGACGAAACUUAGAUAGAAAUGGACAACCCUUACCUACUUACCUUAGUUACUCUGAUUCUUUCUAAACUUUUCUUAAUCUUUUCUCACCUACUGUUGCUUUACUCUGAUUACUCUUACCUUUUCGCUUCUAAAGACAAAAGUGGAUUCCACACUUUGAAAUGAUGUACCUAAAGCGACCUUUAGGAAUAGGAGACCUAAUCUUCGGAACAAAAAACAAAACUAU